UACGGAGGGUGCGAGCGUUGUUCGGAAUCACUGGGCGUAAAGGGCGCGUAGGCGGCCAUGCGUGUCUUCCGUGAAAUCCCUCGGCUUAACUGAGGACGUGCGGAAGAAACUGCAAGGCUCGAGUCCGGGAGAGGGGGGUGGAAUUCCCAGUGUAGCGGUGAAAUGCGUAGAUAUUGGGAGGAACACCGGUGGCGAAGGCGGCCCCCUGGACCGGUACUGACGCUGAGGCGCGAAAGCGUGGGUAGCAAACGGG
rnacentral:rRNA from 1 species